UACGGGGGGGGCAAGCGUUGUUCGGAAUUACUGGGCGUAAAGGGCUCGUAGGCGGCCAACUAAGUCAGACGUGAAAUCCCUCGGCUUAACCGGGGAACUGCGUCUGAUACUGGAUGGCUUGAGUUUGGGAGAGGGAUGCGGAAUUCCAGGUGUAGCGGUGAAAUGCGUAGAUAUCUAUCGGAACGCCAAAGGUGAAGACAGGCCGCUGGGCUUGUACUGACGCUGAGGAACGAAAGCGUGGGGAGCAAACGGG
rnacentral:rRNA from 1 species